rnacentral:rRNA from 1 species
UACGUAGGUGGCAAGCGUUGUCCGGAUUUACUGGGCGUAAAGAGCGCGCAGGCGGUCGAAUAAGUCGAAUGUGAAAGCCCCCGGCUCAACUGGGGAGGGUCAUUCGAUACUGUUCGACUCGAAGGCAGGAGAGGGAAGUGGAAUUCCCGGUGUAGUGGUGAAAUGCGUAGAUAUCGGGAGGAACACCAGUGGCGAAGGCGACUUCCUGGCCUGUUCUUGACGCUGAGGCGCGAAAGCUAGGGGAGCAAACGGG